rnacentral:rRNA from 1 species
CCUACGUGAGGCUGCAGUGAGGAAUAUUGGUCAAUGGGCGAGAGCCUGAACCAGCCAAGUCGCGUGAGGGAGUACUGCCCUAUGGGUUGUAAACCUCUUUUGUCGGGGAGCAAAAGCCGGACGUGUCCGGCUGUGAGAGUACCCGAAGAAAAAGCAUCGGCUAACUCCGUGCCAGCAGCCGCGGUAAUACGGAGGAUGCGAGCGUUAUCCGGAUUUAUUGGGUUUAAAGGGUGCGUAGGCGGUCAGGUAAGUUAGAGGUGAAAGCUCGAUGCUCAACAUCGAAACUGCCUCUGAUACUGUCUGACUAGAGUGUAGUUGCGGAAGGCGGAAUGUGUGGUGUAGCGGUGAAAUGCUUAGAUAUCACACAGAACACCGAUUGCGAAGGCAGCUUUCCAAGCUAUUACUGACGCUGAGGCACGAAAGCGUGGGGAGCGAACAGGAUUAGAUACCCUUGUAGUC